UCAGCCACUCUUUGUAUGUAAAAGCUGCUCUGAGUUGGGCUUCUUUAUGUCUGAGUGCCCACUGGCCCCGAGUUCUGACCAGUUCUCUGCACCCUUGCUUGAAUCUGGCUGAUGGCUUGUACAUCCAUGUUGUAGAUCACCACCUUCUCCAGACUGCUGACGAACUGUGACUGUGAAGCCCUAGGGGAAGAGGUGAAGGGCUUGGCCCCUAAGCCUGUGAUCCUGUCACUGCAGCAGUUUGACACUGAGUACUCAUUCCUCAAGGAAGUCCGAAGCAGCUUAAUGAAGACAGCCAGACGUAAAAUCCUCAUUGUCCAGAUGGAUUUUGACGAUGGCGCUCACAGUACUCAGCUCAUUGCAUCAGCUAAGUAUGUUCUUAGUAGUUUUCUCAGAAAACAUAGGAAGCCAAAAU
rnacentral:lncRNA from 1 species